GAUGAACGCUGGCGGCGUGCCUCAAACAUGCAAGUCGAGCGGGGCUAUGUAAUAUCGCAAGGUAGAACAUAGCCUAGCGGCGAACGGGUGAGUAACACGUGGGUAACCUGCCUGGAAGACAGGGAUAACGAUUCGAAAGGGUCGCUAAUACCUGAUAAUAUCCUUUCAUCGCAUGGUGAUAGGAAGAAAGGGGAAACCCGCUUUCAGAUGGGCCCGCGUCCCAUCAGCUAGUUGGUAAGGUAAAGGCUUACCAAGGCGACGACGGGUAGCCGGUCUGAGAGGAUGUACGGCCACACUGGGACUGAGAUACGGCCCAGACUCCUACGGGAGGCAGCAGUUGGGAAUCUUAGGCAAUGGACGAAAGUCUGACCUAGCGACGCCGCGUGAGGGAAGAAGGCCUUGGGUUGUAAACCUCUGUCAUGGGGGAAAAGUAAGUGACGGUACCCCAAGGAGGAAGCCCCUGCUAACUACGUGCCCAGCAGCCGCGGUAAAAGUACUCUAAU
rnacentral:rRNA from 1 species